GACGAACGCUGGCGGCGUGCUUAACACAUGCAAGUCGAACGGUGAAGCGCCUUCCUUUUUGGUGGGUGUGGAUGAGUGGCGAACGGGUGAGUAACACGUGAGUAACCUGCCCCCUUCUUCUGGAUAACCGCAUGAAAGUGUGGCUAAUACGUGAUAUUCUGGGUCUGUCGCAUGAUGGGUCUGGGACAGAUAUUGUUUCGGUGGGGGAUGGGCUCGCGGCCUAUCAGCUUGUUGGUGGGGUGAUGGCCUACCAAGGCGGUGACGGGUAGCCGGCCUGAGAGGGUGGACGGUCACACUGGGACUGAGACACGGCCCAGACUCCGACGGGAGGCAGCAGUGGGGAAUAUUGCACAAUGGGCGCAAGCCUGAUGCAGCGACGCCGCGUGAGGGAUGGAGGCCUUCGGGUUGUGAACCUCUUUCGCCAGUGAAGCAGGCCUGCCUCGUUUGUGGGUGGGUUGACGGUAGCUGGAUAAGAAGCGCCGGCUAACUACGUG
rnacentral:rRNA from 1 species